rnacentral:lncRNA from 1 species
AUCUUUCCGUGGAAGUAUUACCACUGAGAUCUUGAAGUAUUACCACUGAGAUCUGCAAAAGGCACAAGAAAGUUUACUCUGCAGGCUUAUGAAGUUGAAAAGGUUGUAUAAAUCAACAAGGAUGUAUAUCAGUAGCAAAAAUUGUCGAAAGAAUGAAUUUGUGUGGAUGUUCAUAGAUCUACAUGCGAAUGAAAAUAAAGAUGUUCAUAGAUCUACAAAAAUCAAAUGCGAAAAACAGACUGCAAACAAGAGCAAAGAUGUUCAUAGAUCUACUGAAUCAGAUGCCAAAAAAUAGUAUUGAAAUCAGAUCUGCGAAAAAUAUUUUUUUUGUUUAUAGAUUUUUCAAAAAAUUAGAUGCCCAAAACAGAUAGACAAAAAUCAGGCAACCGAAGAAAUAUUCUUUGUUGGAAAUAUAUCAAUUAAUUUCUUCAUAAGUUGAAAGACAAAAAGGAAGACAAAAUAUAGAAAAUGAAAGAUAAAGACUUUUGUAAAAUACUGACAAGACACGGGAGCUCCACAUUCUCUAACUUAAGUGCAAAAGGGGUGGGGAACAAAAUCAGGAGAUAAAGAAAAUUAUGCAUACCAGUCGUACUUCCAUAUGUUACAUGCAUACAAGCAAAACAUACAAAUUAUUGGAACGAAGGAUGCACAUAAAAUCGGUCAAAUAACCAGUUAAUUUCAACUUAACUUUACACAACAAGCUUCUUGGGAUACUUCAGAUCUGCGAAAAAUAUUUUUUUUGUUUAUAGAUUUUUCAAAAAAUCAGAUGCCCAAAACAGAUAGACAAAAAUGCAGAUGCCCAAAAUAUCUUACUGUAUUGAACAAGCUGUUGUUUCAAAAUUUGUGGCUAAAUGAAAAAAAAUAAUCAAUUCAGCAAGAAAAAAAAUACAUGGAGAUCGCAAGAAUUAAAGAUGCAGUCGAGGGAGGAGGCCGAGAUCUGGAAGCUAGGGCUGGGCGACGCCGUAGUUUGAAACUCGGACGGCGGCGGCUGGAUAAGGGCUGAGCAGAGGGAGGCAGCGGCUCAUUUAUCGUCGUCGAGGAGAGAGGCGACACCUCGUGGAGCGUCGUCUAGAUGUGAGGCCGGAGUUGGUAGUUUAGGGAUCUAAGGGUUUUCGGACCGCGGCUUUGCGGUUAAACGGUUGCAGGUUUUUCUCCGGCAGAGGGAGAAAGAAGACGAUAGAGAGAACGUUUGAGCUUCUCGCCGGCAGGUGGAAGAAAGUCGGCAGAGGGUGAGGCAGAGGGAGAGAGAAAACAAGGGAGAGCACGGAUGGGAGAAGAAAUGAGAGAGAAGAAGCGGCGCUGAACCCUAAUUUUAGAGGAGAUGAGUAUUUAGGCUGUAUUUUAGGGUUGAAAAGUGUGGAUGGGCUGUAUUUAUGUAAUUGGGCUGAAUUUAUUGUA